ACUCCUACGGGAGGCAGCAGUGGGGAAUUUUGGACAAUGGGCGAAAGCCUGAUCCAGCAAUGCCGCGUGAGUGAAGAAGGCCUUCGGGUUGUAAAGCUCUUUUGUCAGGGAAGAAACGGUGAAAGCUAAUAUCUUUUGCUAAUGACGGUACCUGAAGAAUAAGCACCGGCUAACUACGUGCCAGCAGCCGCGGUAAUACGUAGGGUGCAAGCGUUAAUCGGAAUUACUGGGCGUAAAGCGUGCGCAGGCGGUUUUGUAAGUCUGAUGUGAAAUCCCCGGGCUCAACCUGGGAAUUGCAUUGGAGACUGCAAGGCUAGAAUCUGGCAGAGGGGGGUAGAAUUCCACGUGUAGCAGUGAAAUGCGUAGAUAUGUGGAGGAACACCGAUGGCGAAGGCAGCCCCCUGGGUCAAGAUUGACGCUCAUGCACGAAAGCGUGGGGAGCAAACAGGAUUAGAUACCCCUGUAGUCCCAU
rnacentral:rRNA from 1 species